rnacentral:tRNA from 1 species
GGAGGCGUGCGAGAGUGGUUUAAUCGGGCAGUUUCGAAAACUGCUAUGGUUGAAAGACCAUCGAAGGUUCGAAUCCUUCCGCCUCCGCUA